ACGAAGGGGGCUAGCGUUGCUCGGAAUUACUGGGCGUAAAGGGCGCGUAGGCGGACAGUUUAGUCAGAGGUGAAAGCCCAGGGCUCAACCUUGGAAUUGCCUUUGAUACUGGCUGUCUUGAGUACGGGAGAGGUGAGUGGAACUCCGAGUGUAGAGGUGAAAUUCGUAGAUAUUCGGAAGAACACCAGUGGCGAAGGCGACUCACUGGCCCGUUACUGACGCUGAGGCGCGAAAGCGUGGGGAGCAAACAG
rnacentral:rRNA from 1 species